AAUUAUUCAGAAUUUAAUGUCAGAUGUCAUACGUCAACGCAGAACAGAUAAAAGCAGAUUUAAAUAUCCGACUUUGUCAGUCAGCUGUUUCUACUAGGCCAACAAUGGAUGGGUGACACCUAUACCAUGAAAAAAUUCUUUUUGUGUUUGUGUAACGUGUAAUGUGGCCGUUUUUCUGUUUUUGCUGUUUGGGGUUGUACGGAGGAUAUCCAACCAAAAGUUAUUUUCACAAGAUGCAAAUGUUAACACCUCAAUUUUGUAGCGGUACUUUUUUAACAAUUGACCAUUAGCUCCGAUGAUGACAUUUAUGUCGAAAGCGCUCAGCUAAAGAAAUAAAUUAUUUACACACUUUGA